UUGGUAUUUAAAGUUUGUGUAUUGUAUAACACAGCAAUCCGGGUCAAGCAAGGCCAACCUGGGUAACGUUCAAGCGAAGCGGCGAGACCUUGCACAGUACCGAUAGAGUAUAUAUCGCAUUCAAGCCUUCAAAGUGUGAUAAGAAAUUAUAUCAUUACAUAACAUUCGCCAAAACCUACAAUUUAUUGCAAUGGGUGAGCAAAUAAAGAACAGAUACGAUAUCCCGCCAACUUGAUUUGAUCUCAGAUGCACAAGCAUGCACAGUUUGCAGUUUAAGUUUAAACGAAGCAAAGGGGCACCCUAAGGAUCGCAGCCAGCACAGGUGUUGAGGGUUUCAUUAAUUAAGCAACCAUACUUCUUUGUCAACAUAUUUAUAUUCGUUUGAGGCAGACUCCAUAGAAAAUGGCGGAACGUAUUUAUGAUCUCGUUACUUAUGAUUGUUGAAUAACAUGUCGUCUGAGUACCCAUCAUACUUAUCCUUUCUGUCGGGAGUACGGUGUAAUUUAUCAAAGGGACUAUUUUCUGAGUGCGCAAUGUCUGUGAUGUCUGAAGUGGCAGGUUGUCCUCACUUGACCCAGCGCUCUAUUCGACCUUCAAGAUCAGAGGAACUCCUAGAACAAAUA